CCUCAAAGGCCAUAGAACCAUGGAAUGGUUGGGUUGGAAGGGACCUCAAAGGCCAUAGAGCCAUAGAACAAUGUACCUCACAGCCCCCAGCCCCACCCCUGCCGUGGGUGGCUGCCCCCUGGCUCAGGCUGCUCAGGGUCCAUCCAUGGCCUUGGGUACCUCCAAGGAUUGGGGAACCACAGCUCUGGGCAGUGCCAGGGCCUCACUGCCUCUGGUGCUGUGUUCCCACAGCCAACCUGGGAAGAGGUGUGGUUCCCACGAGCAGUAGCAACAAAGGCAUGGAACUGAGGCUGCCUUCUGUCGGUGGCAGCUCAUCAAAGGGCCAGGAACAUCCAUAAAAUGAGCAGUGAAAUUACUUUGAAAGCUUUGGGUUUACUCAUUUUACUACCACAGGAAAAUGCUGCUGAUGUAUAUGCACA
rnacentral:lncRNA from 1 species